rnacentral:rRNA from 1 species
CAGACGGGUGAGUAACGCGUGGGAACGUACCCUUUGGUUCGGAAUAGCCCUUGGAAACGAGGAGUAAUACCGAAUGAGCCCUACGGGGGAAAGAUUUAUCGCCGAAGGAUCGGCCCGCGUUAGAUUAGCUAGUUGGUGAGGUAAUGGCUCACCAAGGCGACGAUCUAUAGCUGGUUUGAGAGGAUGAUCAGCCACACUGGGACUGAGACACGGCCCAGACUCCUACGGGAGGCAGCAGUGGGGAAUCUUGGACAAUGGGGGAAACCCUGAUCCAGCCAUGCCGCGUGAAUGAUGAAGGCCUUAGGGUUGUAAAAUUCUUUCAGUGGGGAAGAUAAUGACGGUACCCACAGAAGAAGCCCCGGCUAACUCCGUGCCAGCAGCCGCGGUAAUACGGAGGGGGCUAGCGUUGUUCGGAAUUACUGGGCGUAAAGCGCGCGUAGGCGGACUAGCCAGUCAGAGGUGAAAGCCCAGGGCUCAACCCUGGAACUGCCUUUGAUACUGUUAGUCUGGAGUCCGGGAGAGGUGUGUGGAAUUCCGAGUGUAGAGGUGAAAUUCGUAGAUAUUCGGAGGAACACCAGAGGCGAAGGCGGCACACUGGA